AUGCACGCUGGCGGCGUGCCUAAUACAUGCCAGUCGCGCGAACAGACGAGGAGCUUGCUCCUCUGACGUUAGCGGCGGACGGGUGAGUAACACGUGGAUAACCUACUUAUAAGACUGGGAUAACUUCGGGAAACCGGAGCUAAUACCGGAUAAUAUAUUGAACCGCAUGGUUCAAUAGUGAAAGACGGUUUUGCUGUCACUUAUAGAUGGAUCCGCGCCGCAUUAGCUAGUUGGUAAGGUAACGGCUUACCAAGGCAACGAUGCGUAGCCGACCUGAGAGGGUGAUCGGCCACACUGGAACUGAGACACGGUCCAGACUCCUACGGGAGGCAGCAGUAGGGAAUCUUCCGCAAUGGGCGAAAGCCUGACGGAGCAACGCCGCGUGAGUGAUGAAGGUCUUCGGAUCGUAAAACUCUGUUAUUAGGGAAGAACAAAUGUGUAAGUAACUAUGCACGUCUUGACGGUACCUAAUCAGAAAGCCACGGCUAACUACGUG
rnacentral:rRNA from 1 species